CCUACGGGAGGCAGCAGUGGGGAAUAUUGGACAAUGGGCGAAAGCCUGAUCCAGCCAUGCCGCGUGUGUGAAGAAGGCCUUCGGGUUGUAAAGCACUUUCAGUGGGGAAGAAAGCCUUGGGGCUAAUACCCUCGAGGAAGGACAUCACCCACAGAAUAAGCACCGGCUAACUCCGUGCCAGCAGCCGCGGUAAUACGGAGGGUGCGAGCGUUAAUCGGAAUUACUGGGCGUAAAGCGCGCGUAGGCGGUCUGAUAAGCCGGUUGUGAAAGCCCCGGGCUCAACCUGGGAACGGCAUCCGGAACUGUCAGGCUAGAGUGCAGGAGAGGAAGGUAGAAUUCCCGGUGUAGCGGUGAAAUGCGUAGAGAUCGGGAGGAAUACCAGUGGCGAAGGCGGUCUUCUGGACUGACACUGACGCUGAGGUGCGAAAGCGUGGGUAGCAAACAGGAUUAGAUACCCUUGUAGUC
rnacentral:rRNA from 1 species